rnacentral:rRNA from 1 species
UACGAAGGGGGCUAGCGUUGUUCGGAAUCACUGGGCGUAAAGCGCACGUAGGCGGACUUUUAAGUUAGAGGUGAAAUCCUGAGGCUCAACCUCAGAACUGCCUUUGAUACUGGGAGUCUCGAGUUCGGGAGAGGUGAGUGGAACGGCGAGUGGAGAGGUGAAAUGCGUAGAUAUGCGCAAGAACACCAGUGGCGAAGGCGGCGCACUGGCCCGAUACUGACGCUGAGGUGCGAAAGCGUGGGGAGCAAACAGG